rnacentral:rRNA from 1 species
AUUGAACGCUGGCGGCAUGCUUUACACAUGCAAGUCGAACGGUAACAGGCCGCAAGGUGCUGACGAGUGGCGAACGGGUGAGUAAUGUAUCGGAACGUGCCCAGUCGUGGGGGAUAACGCAGCGAAAGCUGUGCUAAUACCGCAUACGAUCUGUGGAUGAAAGCGGGGGACCUUCGGGCCUCGCGCGAUUGGAGCGGCCGAUGUCAGAUUAGGUAGUUGGGGGGGUAAAGGCUCACCAAGCCGACGAUCUGUAGCUGGUCUGAGAGGACGACCAGCCACACUGGGACUGAGACACGGCCCAGAGUCCUACGGGAGGCAGCAGUGGGGAAUUUUGGACAAUGGGCGCAAGCCUGAUCCAGCCAUGCCGCGUGCGGGAAGAAGGCCUUCGGGUUGUAAACCGCUUUUGUCAGGGAAGAAACGCUCUGGGUUAAUACCUCGGGGUAAUGACGGUACCUGAAGAAUAAGCACCGGCUAACUACGUGCCAGCCGCCGCCGUAAUAC